AGGAUUAACGCUGGCGGCGUGCCUGACACAUGCAAGUCGAACGAGGCCGCAAGGCCGAGUGGCGGACGGGUGAGUAACACGUGACCAACCAACCUCGAAGUUGGGAAUAGCUCUGCGAAAGUAGGGGUAAUACCGAAUGUGGCCCAGGGCGGGCAUCCGCCUUGGUCUAAAGAUUCAUCGCUUCGAGACGGGGUCGCGGCCUAUUAGCUUGUUGGUGAGGUAACGGCUCACCAAGGCGAUGAUGGGUAGCUGGUCUGAGAGGACGACCAGCCACACUGGGACUGAGACACGGCCCAGACUCCUACGGGAGGCAGCAGUGAGGAAUCUUCCGCAAUGGGCGAAAGCCUGACGGAGCAACGCCGCGUGUGGGAUGGAAGACUCUAGGGUUGUAAACCACUGUCGGAGGGGACGAUCGUGACGGUACCCUCCAAGAAACGCCCCGGCUAACUACGUGCCAGCAGCCGC
rnacentral:rRNA from 1 species